rnacentral:lncRNA from 1 species
GCUUGUUCCCGGUGCGGGGCUGUGUCCUCAGGGUUGACCACCCUCCGGUCCUGGGCAGAGGGGAGCCUAGAGGAUACUUCACCCAGAGCCUAAUCUACACAGCCAGUCCUCCACACACAGGCACAGGUCAGCUCUUCUUCUACACAGCCAGUCCUCCACACACAGGUCAGCUCUUCUUCUACACAGCCAGUCCUCCACACACAGGUCAGCUCUUCUUCUACACAGCCAGUCCUCCACACACAGGUCAGCUCUUCUUCUACACAGCCAGUCCUCCACACACAGGUCAGCUCUUCUUCUACACAGCCAGUCCUCCACACACAGGUCAGCUCUUCUUCUACACAGCCAGUCCUCCACACACAGGUCAGCUCUUCUUCUACACAGCCAGUCCUCCACACACAGGUCAAUUCUUCUUCUACACAGCCAGUCCUCCACACACAGGUCAGCUCUUCUUCUACACAGCCAGUCCUCCACACACAGGUCAGCUCUUCUUCUACACAGCCAGUCCUCCACACACAGGUCAGCUCUUCUUCUACACAGCCAGUCCUCCACACACAGGUCAGCUCUUCUUCUACACAGCCAGUCCUCCACACACAGGUCAGCUCUUCAUCUACACAGCCAGUCCUCCACACACAGGUCAGCUCUUCUUCUACACAGCCAGUCCUCCACACACAGGUCAGCUCUUCUUCUACACAGCCAGUCCUCCACACACAGGUCAGCUCUUCUUCUACACAGCCAGUCCUCCACACACAGGUCAGCUCUUCUUCUACACAGCCAGUCCUCCACACACAGGUCAGCUCUUCUUCUACACAGCCAGUCCUCCACACACAGGUCAGCUCUUCUUCUACACAGCCAGUCCUCCACACACAGGUCAAUUCUUCUUCUACACAGCCAGUCCUCCACACACAGGUCAGCUCUUCUUCUACACAGCCAGUCCUCCACACACAGGUCAGCUCUUCUUCUACACAGCCAGUCCUCCACACACAGGUCAGCUCUUCAUCUACACAGCCAGUCCUCCACACACAGGUCAGCUCUUCAUCUACACAGCCAGUCCUCCACACACAGGUCAGCUCUUCUUCUACACAGCCAGUCCUCCACACACAGGUCAGCUCUUCUUCUACACAGCCAGUCCUCCACACACAGGUACAGGUCAGCUCUUCUUCUACACAGCCAGUCCUCCACACACAGGUCAGCUCUUCUUCUACACAGCCAGUCCUCCACACACAGGUCAGCUCUUCUUCUACACAGCCAGUCCUCCACACACAGGUCAGCUCUUCAUCUACAAAGCCAGUCCUCCACACACAGGUCAGCUCUUCAUCUACACAGCCAGUCCUCCACACACAGGUCAGCUCUUCUUCUACACAGCCAGUCCUCCACACACAGGUCAGCUCUUCUUCUACACAGCCAGUCCUCCACACACAGGUCAGCUCUUCUUCUACACAGCCAGUCCUCCACACACAGGUCAGCUCUUCUUCUACACAGCCAGUCCUCCACACACAGGUCAGCUCUUCUUCUACAAAGCCAGUCCUCCACACACAGGUCAGCUCUUCUUCUACACAGCCAGUCCUCCACACACAGGUCAAUUCUUCUUCUACACAGCCAGUCCUCCACACACAGGUCAGCUCUUCAUCUACACAGCCAGUCCUCCACACACAGGUCAGCUCUUCUUCUACACAGCCAGUCCUCCACACACAGGUCAGCUCUUCAUCUACACAGCCAGUCCUCCACACACAGGUCAGCUCUUCAUCUACACAGCCAGUCCUCCACACACAGGUCAGCUCUUCUUCUACACAGCCAGUCCUCCACACACAGGUCAGCUCUUCUUCUACACAGCCAGUCCUCCACACACAGGUACAGGUCAGCUCUUCUUCUACACAGCCAGUCCUCCACACACAGGUCAGCUCUUCUUCUACACAGCCAGUCCUCCACACACAGGCACAGGUCAAUUCUUCUUCUACACAGCCAGUCCUCCACACACAGGUCAGCUCUUCUUCUACACAGCCAGUCCUCCACACACAGGUCAGCUCUUCUACUUCUUCUUCUUCUUCUCUUUGUCAAUGUAUUGGAAUCUAUUUUGCAUACCUUUAGUGUAAAUAGUGAACAUACA